ensembl:lncRNA
CUUCAUUGUGUGUAUUUGUUGGUGUAGAAGGUGACAGACGGAGAGAAGUCAAAAUCUAUGACUAUAGUAAGAGUCAAAAUAGUAAAGACACCACCAGCAACAAUUUCAUCAGCAGCACUGUAAUUUCAGAGCAUUCAUUUUCCCCAGGUAUUCUAGCAACUUGUUUAGAGAUCAUUAAGAGGUAAAGCUGAGGUUAUCUGUGGUAAUGAAUGAAUCUGAGGAAAAAAGUAAAUACAAUAAACCCAACAGACUGGAACAGCAAAGCUGUCUCGCUGAGAAAGAGGGCAGCAGCUGUGAAGGUAAGAAGUGUUCAUUUCCCUUUGGUUUAAAUUGACUUUUUUCCCUGUUAAGAAGUCGAAUAUGAUCCCGUUUUUCUGUGUCCUCAUAAAGAUUCCAGAAUAAUUAGGACUGUGAAAAGGAGACUUGUCAAUCAAUUCCUGCUUCAAAUAACUACCAUAUUAAAUUGAUGAGCAUAAAACACAAUGGCAGCCACCCAGAAUGGAGGCUCAGUCGUGAGCUCAAGUCCGAGUCCUUGGAUGACUCCAAAGGCAGCGGCUGGCGUUUGACAGAUUUGGAUAUAUCAAACGUGGCACGAGGAAAUGAGACAAUGAGACAGCUGCAUCUGCAGGGCUGCAAAGCUCUGGUGGUGCUCAGGCUGAAGGGCACGUGGGGGAUCAGCGCACAGAGGGUUUAGCACCGCCUGCGCUUCGGGGCUGCCACAGCCACACCAGAGAGGGGACACACAGCUUUGAUGGGCUGCCAGAGGGGCAUUCUCCAUCCAGCAGACAUGGGAGCUGGCAUCUCACAUCAUCCUGGGGCCAGAGCAGGUUCUGACUGCUGGCCUGCUGCUGCCUAGCCCUACUGUUUGUUAUGUGGGACAAACAGAAGCCAGGAGUGUAAACCAAGAGUGUGGCGUAAGGACGAGACAUGAGUGGGAGCAAAUAUUCUUCAAAAGGCUCAUGUCAAAAGACAACACUAGAUUUAUUAACUUACUCCUUAAGUUUUCCUUCCAGAAUAAUAUUUGGUUAAAAAGGAUUGUCCUUUAAGUUACUGAAUGAAUGCAGCAUGGCAAUAUCAGUUUUGAAAAGGCUUUUGAAGAGCAGCCCACUACUUUUUCAGUUGUGCUGCCAUGGCUUUCUUGUUUAAUUUCUGCCACCAGGCUGCUCUUGAUCUGUUUGUUUUGGGUCAUUCGACCUCAUGCCAUAAUAAUUAGUAUUGCUUGCUAACAAAACACAUCAUUAGGAGGAAGUGGGAUCAAAAGGAUGAUAUGGAAUUAGCAGGCUGGAGAACAGCAUCAUCUUCCUUGCAGAGAUGAUAGCAGAGCCUGAUCACAUCCCCUGUAUUGACCACUGUGCCCACAGCUGAUUUCUCUGAUUAAAUUUUCACAGAAGACACCUCAGAGAGAGAGUCAGCAAUACCUGAAGUGGACCCCAGCUUCAGAUGGAGUUUUCUGAAUGUCUCUACCCUUAAUGCAACCCUGAGCACAUCCUUGUCCCAAUUUUUGGUGGACAGCAGAGUCACGGCUCGGAAGUCACGCAGAGGCAGGACUAAAAGUUCUGAAGUACAAAUAAUAACCAGUUAAAUUAUAUGACUGUUUGGCCCAGAAGCUGCUAAUUAAGACAAGGCUGUGCAGACUGUUUAGCAAAUUUAGGUAUGUGGGAAAUAAAUCAAAUGGAACAGGAUGAUUAAGGCUGAAG